UUUAACACACACCCUUCUUCCCUGCACUGUCGACUUCGUUGCAAUUCUCAGUCUCACGCCAGGGCCCGAGACAUGAGGGUCAUAAGAGAAGAGUAGAAGGAUGAAUGCACACCAACAACAAAACACAUUCCACUCAAAUCAUAUUUAUGUUUGUUGCAUCAAAAAUCAGGUAAGGAACCAAAAAAAAAAAAAAGAAAAGCUGAUUCUAUACCUCUGCACACCAAAAA